AUCCAACUGAUGAGUCCUAAAUGGGACGAAACGCAUGCCUUGGAU
rnacentral:hammerhead_ribozyme from 1 species